UUAAUAAAUGUUAUUAUUGAAAUUUAUAAAAAUUGUAUUGGACAGAAAAGGACAAAUAAUGUGAGAAUUUUUUUUAACAAACAAGAUUAUUAAAAUUUAAAAUAAGAAGAAAGUAACAUUGCAAAAAAAAAAAAAGAUUAAUUGAGUAAUAAUAAAACAAAAUAUUCGCUCGUCUUGAACCACCUAAAGCAGUCUUACACCUAACACAACACAGAGUUAACGGAGGCGGUAGGUGGGAUGAAACAGCUUCUAUACCUUCGUCACCCCAUCUCUUCUCUCUAUCCUUCCACUUCAUCGCCACAUCUAUCUCCUCCCUUCCCCUCCCUCUCUCUUUCUGUCUCUCCACCCAAUCUCUCUCUUCUUCCUCGUCUUCAUCGAAUCCAAACUCCACCCUUUCCUUCUCUCCCCUUCCCCGUCCCGCUUACCUCGUCUCCGGAUCCAAUGACGGCUCAGCGGUCAAAGUCCCGCUUAAGCGGGUCAAAACCCGCUUAAUCUCCCAAAACGUUUAAUAAUCCGAUUUAGCUCUAAUCGGAGUGUUUCUUAAUCGCCCACUUAAUGCGCUUUUCACAACACUGAUUUUGAGACGUCUCUCUUUUUUUAUACAUUUUAAAAAUAAUAAUUUUUAAUAUAAAUAAAUACCACAUUAACUACUUUCUUCGAAUUUAUUUAUUUCAUAGUAAUAUAAAACGCUAUUAUACACAUUAUUUUUUUCUUCGUUAUCUCAAAUUUAUUAUUAAAUAUAAAUUGGUCCAAUUACUUAACACCUAAUUUUAUUCAUUUUUAAAUAUUUUCUUGAUUUCCUUAACCACCAUCUGAUUAUUCUGAUAUAUAUAACCGGGUGGACGGGUGAAGUAGUUUUUAACCGGCAGUGAGACUUCGAGAUCAACUCCACAAGUUCAAAAGUAAGCUCCAGACAUUUAAUCGAAUUUGUUAUCAAUAUUGAUGUUACUAGAUAGUAGAUUCCGUUGAAACCCUUGAAUUCGAAAGUAAUCGUAAUAUUGUCACAUAGCAACGAGCCAGUCCCCCGUCAAAAUAAUGCACCACCAAAAGAGAAACCCACAUGUUAAUGAAUUGUCACGCAAUUAUCAUUCCAAUAAUUUGUUCACCCACCGCAAAGUCCACUCAUUUCGUUCUACCAUGAUGAUUAAUAAUUAGUACUUUUUUUUAUAAGAAGAACUGUAUAUAAUUAAUUUUACCAGUUUUGUAUUAGUUGACAUAUUGCGACUUUUUUUAUUCUAUUAAUCUAACCUCAGUGGCCACGAUUACAUGAAACAUGUCCAGCUUCCUGGGACACUUAUUCUUCAUUCGAGGGGUACGCCAUUUUGGUUUACUUUAUUUUCUGAUUUUGAACACACUUUUUUAUAUAUUGAUUUAUAAUUAAAAUUUUCAUUUAUAAAAUAUAAUUUUAUAAACAAAAUGUGCUGAUCAAAAUCUUAAUUUAUGAAAAUUAAAUUAACAAGAAUAAAAUAAAGAGAAGUAAAUAACUUUCUUACAUGGUAGUGUGAGAAAAUUUUAAGUAAAGUUUCGUUGCAUAAUAUAUUUAGUAUAUUUAUUUUAAAUAAAUAUAGUAAACUAUAUCGAAUUGUGUGUAGUUGAAUGAAUCAAGUACUAAGAAUCAUAAAAUAAACUACUUUAUCUACAAAAUUACAAAUUAUUUGGAAAAAGUUGAGAAAUCUGUAUAUAAAAAAGAUUUGUAAAAAGAAGGGAUAGAUACCAAUAAUGCAGGCUAUCUAAAUUGGUAGCGUGAAGAACCGAUACUGAAAAAUACUCCCUCCAUUCCAAAAUAAUAGUCGCUUUGACUUUGUACACGUAUUUUGAGGUGCAAAAA
rnacentral:lncRNA from 1 species